rnacentral:rRNA from 1 species
AUUGAACGCUGGCGGCAGGCUUAACACAUGCAAGUCGAGCGGUAACAGAGAGAAGCUUGCUUCUCUGCUGACGAGCGGCGGCCGGGUGAGUCAUGCCUAGGAAUCUGCCUAGUAGUGGGGGAUAACUUGCCGAAAGGUAAGCUAAUACCGCAUACGUCCUACGGGAGAAAGGAGGGGACCUUCGGGCCUUUCGCUAUUAGAUGAGCCUAGGUCGGAUUAGUUAGUUGGUGAGGUAAUGGCUCACCAAGACCGCGAUCCGUAACUGGUCUGAGAGGAUGAUCAGUCACACUGGAACUGAGACACGGUCCAGACUCCUACGGGAGGCAGCAGUGGGGAAUAUUGGACAAUGGGGGGAACCCUGAUCCAGCCAUGCCGCGUGUGUGAAGAAGGUCUUAGGAUUGCAAAGCACUUUAAGUUGGGAGGAAGAGCAGUUAACUAAUAUUUGACUGUUUUGACGUUACCGACAGAAUAAGCACCGGCUAACUUCGUG